rnacentral:rRNA from 1 species
ACCCGCUGAAUUUAAGCAUAUCACUAAGCGGAGGAGAAGAAACUAACCAGGAUGCCCCUAGUAAUGGCGAAUGAAGCGGGCAUAGCUCACGCCGCCAAUCUGGAGGUCCCUACGACGACCCCCCGAAUUGUAGUCUAGAAAGGCGCCAUCGGCCGCGUCCGCCGCUCAAAUCCCCUGGAACGGGGUAUCGGAGAAGGUGAGAAUCCUGUGCCGUGGCGGUUCGCGGUCGCACGAUGCGCUCUUGCAGAGUCGGGUUGCUUGGGAUUGCAGCUUGAAUUGGGUGGUAAAUUCCAUCUAAAGCUAAAUACUGGCGAGAGACCGAUAGCGAACAAGUACCGUGAGGGAAAGAUGCAAAGAACUUUGAAAAGAGAGUUAAAGAGUGCUUGAAAUCGGCAAGAGGAAACCCGUUUGCGCCCGGUGUCGUCUCUUCGGCUCAGCCAUGCCUCUUGGUGUGGUGCACUUCGGAGAGACGGGUCAGCUCGCGCUGCGUGGGCGUCACACACAUCCAGGUAGGGCUCCGGUGAGCCUGGUUGGAUGGCGCGCGCUCGGCGUCGGCUGACGGAACGGGCGCAACCGACCCGUCUUGAAACACGGACCAAGG